rnacentral:rRNA from 1 species
AACGAACGCUGGCGGCAUGCCUAACACAUGCAAGUCGAACGAGACCUUCGGGUCUAGUGGCGCACGGGUGCGUAACGCGUGGGAAUCUGCCCUUGGGUUCGGAAUAACAGUUAGAAAUGACUGCUAAUACCGGAUGAUGUCUUCGGACCAAAGAUUUAUCGCCCAGGGAUGAGCCCGCGUCGGAUUAGCUAGUUGGUGAGGUAAAAGCUCACCAAGGCGACGAUCCGUAGCUGGUCUGAGAGGAUGAUCAGCCACACUGGGACUGGGACACGGCCCAGACUCCCACGGGAGGCAGCAGUGGGGAAUAUUGGACAAUGGGCGAAAGCCUGAUCCAGCAAUGCCGCGUGAGUGAUGAAGGCCUUAGGGUUGUAAAGCUCUUUUACCCGGGAUGAUAAUGACAGUACCGGGAGAAUAAGCCCCGGCUAACUUCGUGCCAGCCGCCGCAGUAACAC